UGCGUAUCCGAGGGGUGCUUCCGUGUGGAAGCUGAGAUGGCAGUGCCGAACCCUUAGAACCUGAUCCGGGUAAUGCCGGCGAAGGGACAGGAACCCCAAGCCUA
rnacentral:ncRNA from 2 species